GCCACCAUGGUGAAAUUGGUAGACACGCUGCUCUUAGGAAGCAGUGCUAUAACAUCUCGGUUCGAGUCCGAGUGGGGGCA
rnacentral:tRNA from 1 species